rnacentral:rRNA from 1 species
AAGAUUAAGCCAUGCAUGUCUAAGUAUAAGCAACUAUACAGUGAAACUGCGAAUGGCUCAUUAAAUCAGUUAUCGUUUAUUUGAUAGUACCUUACUACUUGGAUAACCGUGGUAAUUCUAGAGCUAAUACAUGCUAAAAAUCCCGACCUCUGGAAGGGAUGUAUUUAUUAGAUAAAAACCAAUGCCUUCGGGCUCCUUGGUGAUUCAUGAUAACUUAACGAAUCGCAU